UAGUUUUGCUUUUUAUUGCUAUGAGAGGGCAUAAUUAAAAUGUUGCUUGCUCUUUUCUCUUAGUUUUGCAGCAUUGAUGCCGAUCAUGAGGACGAGACCCUCGGCCGGCUGGUGAAUGAUGACCAUCUGCACCCUAACUGCACUGUCAAUAAGAUCGUUGUUCAGAGAAAACCUCAUUUGUGCCUUUUUGCAAUCAGGGAUAUUUUCUUUGGAGAGGAAAUAACGUUUGACUAUGGCGCAUGUGAUUGGCCUUGGAGAAAGCUUUCAUUGAAGGAUGCCCAUAUGACUGCAGAAGAGAACUGCUUCGACAACUCUCUGAUGAGCUUUUAUUGAAGUAUGACCAAAUGACGAGAAGAAGAGAACUGCUCUGCUCCAGUAGGAGACCCACAACCCUCUGAUGAGGUGGGUUUAAAUUUAAUAAUAAUAAUAAUUAUUAUUAUUAUUAGUAGUAGUAG